rnacentral:rRNA from 1 species
AGAGAAGAACAAGGAUGAGAGUAACUGUUCAUCCCUUGACGGUAUCUAACCAGAAAGCCACGGCUAACUACGUGCCAGCAGCCGCGGUAAUACGUAGGUGGCAAGCGUUGUCCGGAUUUAUUGGGCGUAAAGCGAGCGCAGGCGGUUUCUUAAGUCUGAUGUGAAAGCCCCCGGCUCAACCGGGGAGGGUCAUUGGAAACUGGGAGACUUGAGUGCAGAAGAGGAGAGUGGAAUUCCAUGUGUAGCGGUGAAAUGCGUAGAUAUAUGGAGGAACACCAGUGGCGAAGGCGGCUCUCUGGUCUGUAACUGACGCUGAGGCUCGAAAGCGUGGGGAGCAAACAGGAUUAGAUACCCUGGUAGUCCACGCCGUAAACGAUGAGUGCUAAGUGUUGGAGGGUUUCCGCCCUUUCAGUGCUGCAGCUAACGCAUUAAGCACUUCCGCCUGGGGA